UUUACUGUAUGGUGUAGGUUUAUUACCCAUACUGCAAUAUUUAUUUAAAAGGGUGGUGCGGGUUUAUCGUCCACGCCUUUACUUUUAUUAAAAUGUAUGGAGCAGAAUUAGUGCCCAUACAAGCAUAUUUACUUUAUCGUAAAUUUACUUUAAAGGGUGGUGCGGGUUUAUCGUCCACGCCUUUACUGUUAUUUAAAUGUAUGGAGCAGAAUUAGUGCCCAUACAAGCACGUUUACUUUACCGCACAUUUAAAGUAUGGUGCGGGAUUAACGUCCAUACAGCAAUUUAAUUUAUGAAUUUACUUUACCGCACAUUUAAAGUAUGGUGCGGGAUUAACGUCCAUACAAGUAAUUUAUUUACCAGUAAAUUUAUUUUAUGGAUUAAUUGUGCUGUAUGAUGAGUUUUUACAGUAUACAGAUCAGGACCAGAAGUUCCUUGAUCCUCAUCAUACAAUUACAUCAGGACUUGAAGAUCCUUGAUGAUGAUAUUGAUAUGAGAGCUGGCAGUCUCUCCGG
rnacentral:lncRNA from 1 species